rnacentral:rRNA from 1 species
CUCAGCAGUCAUACCAUUGCAGUUCCAACUAGGUGAUCCACUUGAAGUUAAGCAGGGUUGGACCUGACCAGUACUUGAAUGGGAGGCCAACUAGGAAGGCUGGUUGCUGCUGGAA